rnacentral:rRNA from 1 species
AGAGCGAACGCUGGCGGCAGGCCUAACACAUGCAAGUCGAGCGCCGUAGCAAUACGGAGCGGCAGACGGGAGAGUAACACGUGGGAACGUACCCUUUGGUUCGGAACAACCCAGGGAAACUUGGGCUAAUACCGAAUAAGCCCUUACGGGGAAAGAUUUAUCGCCGAAGGAUCGGCCCGCGUCUGAUUAGCUAGUUGGUGGGGUAACGGCCCACCAAGGCGACGAUCAGUAGCUGGUCUGAGAGGAUGAUCAGCCUCAUUGGGACUGAGACACGGCCCAAACUCCUACGGGAGGCAGCAGUGGGGAAUAUUGGACAAUGGGCGCAAGCCUGAUCCAGCCAUGCCGCGUGGGUGAUGAAGGCCCUAGGGUUGUAAAGCCCUUUCGGCGGGGAAGAUAAUGACGGUACCGCAGAAGAAGCCCCGGCUAACUUCGCGCCAGCAGCCGC